AUUGAACGCUGGCGGCAGGCCUAACACAUGCAAGUCGAACGAGGGGCGGACGGGUGAGUAAUGUCUGGGAACCUGCUCGAUGGAGGGGGUUAACUACUGGAAACGGUAGCUAAUACCGCAUACCAUCGGAUUUGCCCAGAUUGGAUUAGCUAGUAGGUGGGGUAACGGCUUACCUAGUCGACGAUCCCUAGCUGGUCUGAGAGGAUGAACAGCCACACUGGAACUUAGACACGGUCCAGACUCCUACGGGAGGCAGCAGUGGGGAAUAUUGCACAAUGGGCGCAAGCCUGAUGCAGCCACGCCGCGUGAAUGAAGAAGGCCUUCGGAUUGUAAAGCACUGUCAGUAAGGAAGCGUUAUUCGCCGAGGAAGCAACGGCUAACUCCGUGCCAGCAGCCGCGGUAAUUC
rnacentral:rRNA from 1 species